GGAAACCCACGCAAACACGGGGAGAACAUGCAAACUCCACACAGAAAGGCCACGGGAAUUGAACCCACAACCUUCUUGCUGUGAGGCAACAGUGCUAACCACUAAACCACCGUGCUGCCCAGUAUAACCAUACUAUAACAAAUUAAUUUAGAAUAUAGGCAGAAAACAGUGUGUAAAACCUUGUGUGGCUGAUAUCACACCUACAGUAUUUGUAAUUCCAGUGCAUGUACAAACAGUUUAUCAACUUACAAGUAGUAUAUAAAGCAUGUGACAAGUCAAAUAUAUAUAUAUAAACCCUUCAAACCUUCAAUGUCACGAUUCAAUCCAUAAUGUAAUAAUAAUAAUGAUUCAUUUUUAAAAAGAAAAAAGUUUUGCACUACAGCAAUUAAUUAUUAAUCACCAACUAUUUCGAUAAUCAAUUAAUCAAUUUUGAGUACAUUUUUCAAAUGUCAAAAUGAUCUGAUUUUGGCUUCUUAAAUAUGAAUAUUUUCUGAUUUCUUUAAUUCUCUCUGGUAGUAAACUGAACACCUUUUGAGGGCAUCUGAGGAUUUAGGAAAUACUGAUCGAGAUUUAUCACCAUUUUAUGAACUAGACAACCAAUCAGUUAAUUAAGAAAAUAGCUCAACAGAUUAAUCGAUAAUGAAAACAAUCAUUAGUCACAGCCCUACAAACGUUUGCAUGAUUUUAAUUGACAAAUCCCCCAACAUUCUGCUAUUUCCUAACACUCCUGUUCUUGCCCGGAGCUUCAUUCAGCCUUUUAGAACCUGUAUCUGAUGUUAAUUAAGUUGCUAACUGCCAGAUGCAAAACCCUCACUUUACGUGGAACCACUUCAUCCUCGACUGACACACAAGACUUCCACCAUGUUUAACCCAUAUCGGUUCCAAACAGUUUGAGUCAAAGUUAUAUGUACAGUCCAUGGUUAUGACCUUGAGUUUGACCUUUCAGGGUCACAUGAGGUCAACAGAAAGGUAAUUUGAAUUAAUUUAAAGCCUGAUCUUUCUCAGAUAUGCAUCCCUGCUGGUCACUGUCUAUAACCAUGACAAAUCAGAAUGUGAAGAUCAGUUACCCACUAAUGUGAUCCAGUGCCGUUUGAAGACAUAUCAGACAUAAAGCAUGUGACGUACACAAAAACAAAAACAAAAUAACAGCAAAACUUUGGCGCUUCGGAAAAACCUCCCAGUGAUGUCAUGGCGUGUAGUGUCCUGAAGUGUGUCAGUUUUCUAUCAUGCAAUAGAACAAUAUUUUGUUAAUAGCUAUGUGUCCUGUUUGCUUGUGAUAGUAUUUACUAUUGUAUUUGUUUUGUUUUUGUCAUCUGCCUUAGUAUUUUUAUGUGCCUUAUCUGUUAAACAUAUCUGGAGAAAAGAAAUGCCAUGUGAUUUGGGACCCCUGACCUUCAGCAUUAACCAAAGCAUCAAUCCACCCCUGAAUUAAUUAUAUAGUUCAGAUCAAUUCCCUGUGAAUAAAUGGCACAUAUACCCAGGGCCAUAUAUAGGAAUGUGAAAGGGGGGGUUCAAAUCCUUGAGUUGGGGGUCCAGUGGGUCGCAGGGCCACCGGUGGGGUCGAGGGGCAACGCCCUCGUGGGGGGUGAAGCUCCCCGGAGCAGAAGCUUUUUAAGGAUUUCGAGGGGUAAAAAGCUACAUAAAUUUAAUUUGAAA